rnacentral:tRNA from 2 species
GCGCUGGUGGCGGAAUUGGUAGACGCGCUGGUUUCAGGUACCAGUGGGUAACACCGUGGAGGUUCGAGUCCUCUCCAGCGCACCA